UACGUAGGGGGCAAGCGUUGUCCGGAAUCAUUGGGCGGAAAGAGCGUGUAGGCGGCCAGAUAAGUCCGCUGUGAAAUCUCGAGGCUCAACUUCGAGCUGUCGGUGGAAACUGUCUGGCUAGAGUCCGGAAGAGGAGAAUGGAAUUCCUGGUGUAGCGGUGAAAUGCGCAGAUAUCAGGAAGAACACCCGUGGCGAAGGCGGUUCUCUGGGACGGUACUGACGCUGAGACGCGAAAGCGUGGGGAGCGAACAGG
rnacentral:rRNA from 1 species